rnacentral:snRNA from 1 species
AUAACUUACAAAAAUAGGUAG